rnacentral:rRNA from 1 species
UACAGAGGGUGCAAGCGUUGUUCGGAAUUAUUGGGCGUAAAGGGCGCGUAGGCGGUGCUGUAAGUCUGUGGUGAAAUCUCUGGGCUCAACUCAGAGUCUGCCAUAGAAACUGCAGUGCUGGAGUGUGGGAGAGGUGAGUGGGAUUCCCGGUGUAGCGGUGAAAUGCGUAGAUAUCGGGAGGAACACCUGUGGCGAAAGCGGCUCACUGGACCACAACUGACGCUGAGGCGCGAAAGCUAGGGGAGCAAACAGG